AGAGUUUGAUCCUGGCUCAGGAUGAACGCUAGCUACAGGCUUAACACAUGCAAGUCGAGGGGAAACGACAUCGAAAGCUUGUUUUUGAUGGGCGUCGACCGGCGCACGGGUGAGUAACGCGUAUCCAACCUGCCCACCACUUGGGGAUAACCUUGCGAAAGUAAGACUAAUACCCAAUGACGUCUCUAGAAGACAUCUGAAGGAGAUUAAAGAUUUAUCGGUGAUGGAUGGGGAUGCGUCUGAUUAGCUUGUUGGCGGGGUAACGCCACAAGGCGACGAUCAGUAGGGGUUCUGAGAGGAAGGUCCCCCANAUUGGAACUGAGACACGGUCCAAACUCCGUACGGGAGCA
rnacentral:rRNA from 1 species